GCACGCUGUAUUAACCUGUAUUAUAUUUUAUUCUAGUGGAUGUGUCUUCAAACAACUCUUCCAACCUGUAAUAUGUAUAACGUGCUAUAACAGAGUGAAACUUCCACACGGAAUGAAACUGAAGUCGAACGGAUUUAAGUCACGUGACCUUAUUGUAGGAAUGGGAGGUUCCCGUGUUUCUUAUGAAUACUCUGUUAUUGGUUGUCACUAAACGCUAUUGGUCCAAUGUGAAAAGAGGCAUACAACGAUUGCUCUUUUUGUGCUCGUAAGCCUGACGUUGGUGAAAGGCGACGCUAUAGAUAAAGCUUGGAAAAAGUUGUGUAAGAUUAAUAAAGAGAUGCCUGGAAAAAUGAAUGGGAUAAAAGAGUGCAACAGAAAAUUUGUGAGUGGAAAGUCAGAAUUGGU